GAGAGAUUCUCGUCUUUGUUUUUCUUCGUUCGUGUUUUUUGUUUUGUAACUCUGCGAAAGUACGAAUUGAUUUUGCAGAGUAAGAAACAGCACGAAACGUGUGAUUCGGUGAAGAAAGAGAGUGAAAGUGACUUUUCCAACGGAAUGAAUGAGAGGGAAACAAAAAUAUCGCGGUAUUAACCGUUCAGAAGAGAAAAAAAAUAACGCUAUGAAGAAUGAAUGCGUGUGAGUUUGUGGUAACCGGC
rnacentral:lncRNA from 1 species